rnacentral:rRNA from 1 species
CCUACGGGUGGCAGCAGUGGGGAAUAUUGCACAAUGGGCGAAAGCCUGAUGCAGCAACGCCGCGUGAAGGAAGAAGGGUUUCGGCUCGUAAACUUCUAUCAACAGGGACGAAAGAAAUGACGGUACCUGAAUAAGAAGCCCCGGCGAACUACGUGCCAGCAGCCGCGGUAAUACGUAGGGGGCAAGCGUUAUCCGGAUUUACUGGGUGUAAAGGGCGUGCAGCCGGAGAGGCAAGUCAGAUGUGAAAUCCGCGGGCUCAACUCGCGAACUGCAUUUGAAACUGCUUCCCUUGAGUAUCGGAGAGGUAAUCGGAAUUCCUAGUGUAGCGGUGAAAUGCGUAGAUAUUAGGAAGAACACCAGUGGCGAAGGCGGAUUACUGGACGACAACUGACGGUGAGGCGCGAAAGCGUGGGGAGCAAACAGGAUUAGAUACCCUGGUAGUC